rnacentral:rRNA from 1 species
CGGCAAGAGCUCAAAUUUGAAAUCUGGAGCCUUUGGCUUCCGAGUUGUAAUUUGAAGAGGAUGCUUCGGUUGUGGCCUGGGCCUAAGUUCCUUGGAACAGGAUGUCGUAGAGGGUGAGAAUCCCG